rnacentral:lncRNA from 1 species
GACUCGAACAGACAUGCGAGACCUCUACCAACUGAAGGUUUCGUGAGCGCACUCCUUUGCCAAGAUCUUGGUGAAUAGUCUUUCACUGUGCAAUUUUAUCUUAGAAAUUGUUUUACGUUUGAUCAUGAUUGUGCUUGGCUGGAUGUUUUUUGUUGGACUUGUGUGUUACAUGGGCACGUUUCCAGAGUUGAUGCCUCCAACUCUGAAGUGGCAGGAGAGGUGGCCUGUUCAGGAGAGCAAAACACAACUGAGGAGGCGGGCUUUAGGUGAAGAUCUGCUGCAGAACCAUGUGGAAGGGAUAUAAAUAUCCCCCAGGAGGGACUCCAGUGGAAGUAAGCAAGGAUGAUCCUGGUGAAGUAAUGCAGCUGUGAAGCUCACCUGACCAGCUGUACAGUUCCUGUUGUUGGUUUCACAUAAACCACCUAAAUUAAUGAGUAAGAAUGCUCAGCAUCCAAUCCAUGAAUACAGAAUUUAUUCUACUUUGUACUUCAAAGUCACAGGAUGACAUCCAUAUGAUAGUUAUAAAUUCUACUCUACAUUUUCAAGUUCUCAAUCCAUAGAUUAGGACAAGUCACUUUAUUGCUGGCAACAUUCAUGGAAGCAAAGGAACAAUAAAAGAUUGGCUGACUGGUGAGUGGCCCCACAUUAGAGUGCAUAGCUCAUCAGGAUCAAGGCUGGCAUCUGUGAACAGUUAACUUCAUAAGAGCACAAGUGGGCAUUAUAUCAUCUGCAUUACAGAUUUCACCCUGGAAAAUAUCUGAAAAUAUUUUAUGCUCAAAUGACAGCCUGCAAAUGACAGUAUGCAUUCCUUCUCCUUGAGUACCCAAGUAUAAAUCUAAAAUGAUAAGGGGGCUUCUUCAGUCUGAAGGCAGGAAAUCCUUGCAGCAGAGCAGCUCUAGAAUUUCACAAAAAUAAAAGCAGCAGCUAACGCCUCUUCAGCUUCUUGGCCCUUCGACGUUGCAUUUCUUCUUCUUCACGUCUCAUUUCCUCUAAGUCCUCUUGCAUACCCAGUCUUAAGCUGCCAAAGAAUUUUUAAAGGGUAUUUGUCAAUAUACAUGAGAUGACCACUUUCCUUAAAAAGAAUGAAAAUUCCAACUGGGAGCUCACAUGGAUUGUGCUGAUGCUCUCAAAAUGCCUCAAGGCUUUACCACUGAAAACAAACUAGCAGGGAUAUUUUUUUACCAGGGGCCACAGACUCAAAUUGUCGUGGGAAAAAGAACUCACACACCACAAAAACCUUACUAUUUCCAUUAAAAUAAUAAAAUAUAGGUUUAUCUCAAUAGCUUUUAAAAAUAAACAGCAAGAAGCAUUUAUUCAU